rnacentral:rRNA from 1 species
GACAGAGGUGCCGAGCGUUAGGCGGAAUCACUGGGCUUAAAGCGUGUGUAGGCGGGCCGUUAAGUGCCCCGUGAAAUCCCCCGGCUCAACCGGGGAACUGCGGGGCAUACUGGCGGCCUUGAGCCACUUAAGGGCAGACGGAACAAGCGGUGGAGCGGUGAAAUGCGUAGAUAUCGCUUGGAACGCCGACGGCGAAAGCAGUCUGCUGGGGGUGUGCUGACGCUGAGACACGAAAGCCAGGGGAGCGAACGGGAUUAGAUACCCCGGUAGUCCUGGCCGUAAACGAUGUCGACUAGGUCGCGGGCGCCUCUGACGGUGCUCGCGGCCGAAGCAAAAGUGCUAAGUCGACCGCCUGGGAAGUACGGUCGCAAGGCUAAA